rnacentral:rRNA from 1 species
UACGGAGGAUCCGAGCGUUAUCCGGAUUUAUUGGGUUUAAAGGGAGCGUAGAUGGGUUGUUAAGUCAGUUGUGAAAGUUUGCGGCUCAACCGUAAAAUUGCAAUUGAUACUGGCAGUCUUGAGUACAGUUGAGGUAGGCGGAAUUCGUGGUGUAGCGGUGAAAUGCUUAGAUAUCACGAAGAACCCCGAUUGCGAAGGCAGCUUACUAAACUGUGACUGACAUUGAUGCU